rnacentral:rRNA from 1 species
GGGGAAUAUUGCACAAUGGGGGAAACCCUGAUGCAGCGACGCCGCGUGAGUGAAGAAGUAUUUCGGUAUGUAAAGCUCUAUCAGCAGGGAAGAAAAUGACGGUACCUGACUAAGAAGCCCCGGCUAACUACGUGCCAGCAGCCGCGGUAAUACGUAGGGGGCAAGCGUUAUCCGGAUUUACUGGGUGUAAAGGGAGCGUAGGUGGUGUGGUAAGUCAGGUGUGAAAGCCCGGGGCUCAACUCCGGGAUUGCACUUGAAACUAUCAUACUAGAGUGCAGGAGAGGUAAGUGGAAUUCCUAGUGUAGCGGUGAAAUGCGUAGAUAUUAGGAGGAACACCAGUGGCGAAGGCGGCUUACUGGACUGUAACUGACACUGAGGCUCGAAAGCGUGGGGAGCAAAC